rnacentral:lncRNA from 1 species
GUUUGGGGGCGCUGUUGAGCGGUGGCCGCGCGCUCAGUGUCACCGUGGUCCCCUGAAUCACAGAGCUCAAUGGCGUAAUCUAUUCGCUAACAGUGCUGAUGAUGCCUUACUCCAACCCAUCCUGGUCUCAUCAGUGUGAAAAACAGGAAAUCUUCAUGCUUUUGAGAUCUCUGAAAUGGAUCACUUCUCCGUCACACCGGAAUGGCAAGACCUGCUUUAACACGUUUGACUACAAAAUAGGGGACAUCAACAUGCAGAAGUCACAAGCCGCCUGUUUCUGUCAUCAGAUUCUCAACCUCAUCCGUACACACUGCAGUACGGAUCUUCAGCCUAUCCCACACCGAGCACUACGGUACAGCUUGGAGUAAGAUCUGCAGGUUAAAGGACUCUGCAGCCGGUCUGGAACAGCGGGAUGAAACAGAAGAAGCAAGCAGAAAAUCUUCUGGCUUGUCCUUACUUGGGAAUGUUGUCCCUAUGUUCUUCCAAGGAAUCAACAGCUGUCUGAAGCAGAAGGAAUACAGCUGCUGUGCCUCCAACAUUGUCGGUGGGAUGAACGAAGCGAGCUUCUCCCCACUUACUAAAUUCCAAAGACAAUCAGGAAACAAAACUGGUCUUAUGACUCCCCAAUCAAUUGUAUUAUUGUCUGUCAACUCCAAGAAAGGAAUCUACACCAGAUUUUCUGUGCCAGCUAUAAAAUACAUGAAAUCAAAAUCAAGGUUUUAUAUUUCAAAUAUAGUGAGUUGAAAAAAUUGUUCAAAACAGCAAGUGAUCUAUGUUUACCUUAUGAUAAUACAUUUUUCAUCUGUCUUUUCCAUUUGGGGGAGGGCAUUUCCUGUCUCUAGAAUGUGAAAUGUAACUUCUCGUGGAAAACCUUCUUUGUCACAUGAUGUUGUUACAGACCUCUGUCUGUUAAGGUAAUGUUAGCUGCUCAAACAGAUCAACAUGAAAAUACCAGGAUUUCAGCAGCACGCAGGCUUAUCCUCCCUUCAUGGACCACCUCAGUGCAGGCAUUCCUGAUCAGAUGACUCUUCCGGUCGGCUCUCGUCCAAACAAUGAUUCAGGGACC